rnacentral:rRNA from 1 species
GCAUAUCAAUAAGCGGAGGAAAAGAAACUAACAAGGAUUCCCCUAGUAACGGCGAGUGAACCGGGAAAAGCUCAAAUUUGAAAUCUGGCGUCCUCAGGGCGUCCGAGUUGUAAUCUAUAGAGGCGUUUUCCGUGCCGGACCGUGUCCAAGUCCCUUGGAACAGGGUAUCAAAGAGGGUGACAAUCCCGUACUUGACACGACUACCGGUGCUCUGUGAUACGUCUUCUACGAGUCGAGUUGUUUGGGAAUGCAGCUCAAAAUGGGUGGUGAGUUCCAUCUAAAGCUAAAUAUUGGCGAGAGACCGAUAGCGAACAAGUACCGUGAGGGAAAGAUGAAAAGCACUUUGGAAAGAGAGUUAAACAGUACGUGAAAUUGUUGAAAGGGAAACGAUUGAAGUCAGUCGUGACCGAGAGGCUCAGCCGGCUCUGCCGGUGUAUUCCCCUCGGUCGGGUCAACAUCAGUUUUGUCCGGUGGAUAAGGGCGGUAGGAAGGUGGCACCCACGGGUGUGUUAUAGCCUGCCGUCACAUACACUGGGUGAGACUGAGGAAUGCAGCUCGCCUUUAUGGCCGGGGUUCGCCCACGUCCGAGCUUAGGAUGUUGACAUAAUGGCUUUAAACGACCCGUCUUGAAACACGGACC